CCCCGCUAGCUCAACUGGUGGAGCAUCUGCCCGGUGAGAGGAAUGUCGCGGGUUCGAUUCCGGUUAGUGGGGA
rnacentral:tRNA from 1 species